rnacentral:rRNA from 1 species
CUUCUCGGGCGGUGCAUGCUGGACUGGUGCACGCAAGGCACUGCAAAUGCAGCGCCGUG